AAAAAUUUGAUAACUGCAGGUGCCUCAUUAUGAGGAGAAUAGGGAAGUCGGUGUAAGUCCGAUGCGGUCCCGCCACUGUAAACGGGGAGCAAGAAGUAAGUAUAACCACGGGGUAAUUCCCGGAAGGUGCUUUAUCGUGUUGAUCCGUAAGCCAGGAGACCUGCCUGUAGUUAAGCUGAGUC
rnacentral:ncRNA from 2 species